rnacentral:rRNA from 1 species
AACGAACGCUGGCGGCAUGCCUAACACAUGCAAGUCGAACGAGACCUUCGGGCCUUGUGGCGCUCGGGUGCGUAACGCGGGGGAACCUGCCCGUAGGUUCGGAAUAACUCACCGAAAGGGGUGCUAAUACAGGAUAAGGUCUUCCGACCAAAGAUGUAUCGCGUUUGGAUGGGCGCGCGUUGGAUUAGCUAGUUGGUAGGGUAAAAGCCUGCCAAGGCGACGUUCCAUGGCUGGUCUGGGAGGAUGAUCAACCACGCUGGGACUGCGACCCGGCCCAGACUGCUACGCGAGGCAGCAGUGGGGAAUAUUGUACGAUGGACGAAAGCCUAAUCCAGCAGUGCCGCGUAAGUGAUGAAGGCCUUAGUGUUGUAAAGCUCUUUUACCCGGGAUGAGAGUGACGGUACCGGGAAAAUAAGCUCCGGCUAACUACGUG